UACGAGAGGCCCAAACGUUAUUCGGAAUUACUGGGCUUAAAGAGUUCGUAGGCGGCAUGAAAAGUAGGGUGUGAAAGCCCUCGGCUUAACCGAGGAAUUGCGCUCUAACUGUCGUGCUCGAGGAACCUAGAGGUGAGCAGAACAGAUGGUGGAGCGGUGAAAUGCGUUGAUAUCAUCUGGAAUACCGGAGGCGAAGGCGGCUCACUGGGGGUUUUCUGACGCUGAGGAACGAAAGCCAGGGUAGCGAACGGG
rnacentral:rRNA from 1 species